rnacentral:lncRNA from 1 species
CUGUUGUACAGUGGGGGGAGUUAUCUUGGCCCAAAAGCUCAGUGAAGCCCCAAAGAUAUUUUGUUGGUUUUGUUUUUGAUUUUUCCUGAUCUCUUGCAGGUGUUCAUUCAUCUUUAUAAAAAGCCUCCCAUUGAAGGAACAGGAGGGUAGUCAAGGAGGAAGUGACAGAUGUCACUCCAGUCCUGUGGUAUAUUAAGGGCAGCAGGAAGGCUCAGGAGACUAGAUUUGGUCCAAGGGGCAUGAAUACCAUCCUCUUGUACCACUUGUCUAAACUGUUAUAGUUCUUUGCCUGGUAUGGUUACCAGUCUAAUGCCAGUCUAAUGGCUGAGAUCAAGUAGAUUGAACAUUAACAGGGACAACCAAAGUUGCUAUUUCCAUUGUGGGCAAGUUUGAAGGAGUCUUCAAUCUUGCAUAGUUGUUGGGUGGCAGUUUGUAGGAGUGUAGAAGGCAAGGGGCUAUCAAAAGUUUUGAGUGUCCUUAGAGGUUGAGAUAGGAGGGACAUAAGGAAGCAGUGGGGGAUUAAGAGAGAUCUGUUGCGGUCCGACGUCAGGGAGAUGGCUCAGAUCGAAGGUAAAGGAGGAAGAACCAGGCAUUCCUCGGGUCAGGGUGAGAGGUAUGGAUGCUAAUGUUCCGUAGAGGGAAGUACUCGCCCUCUUCCUACUGUCCUAGAGAGUCCCUGUUUCAGCACCAGAUGUGACGAUCU